CUGCAGAGCUUCAACAAAAAACCUCUUCCUGGGCACAGCCACAGCUGCAGGAACCGCAGGGCUGGCAGGAGCUGGAGCAGCUCUGGGCUGCUCCUGGACAGUGAGGGGACAUCGCUGCACACCACUGAUGACCCUGUCCUUUCUGCCAUUUCUCCUACUUCAUCACUCCUUUCGUUCUCCUGAGUCACAAAAGCAGUGUUGUGACCUGGGGAUUAUAUUCACUGUAUAUCUGGUCACCAGAUCAGUUUGGCCACUUUGCCCAACCUCGUACCUGCAGCAUGUCUGCACCUGCUCUUGGUUUCCUUCUUCCCUUGGGUACUUGAACGCACUUGGCCACUUCUAGCUACAUAAUUGCCUGCUUCCAAAGCAGCUGCAGGCUCUUUGAAUCUGCUUCUGUGAGGAAAGCAGUGGGUGAAUAGCUUUGUGUGGAUUUCAGGGGCAUUUCAGAGUGCUGUAAUCCAACCAAUGUGGUCUGUAGUGUUGCAGUGAGCAGGGCUAUAAGAUCCUGCACGACACGUCAGUUACUCUGAAAGCAGUGUCUCCUGUUUGUUUCCAAAGAAAGUACAGCAGUUACAAAGAGUGCAAUAAUGCUAUUUGAUAGAGCAGUUUCCCUGAUGCAGGACAUUAAUCAGAGUCAACACUGUUUUCGUCAGCGAUGAAGAAGGUCCUUCAUUUCAUGCUGGUGAAUACCUGCAGCAGUAGAGGUGGACCACAGUUUCAAAGCUGUUAUGCUGGUAUUGUUCCCAGGAAAAUGUUGCCCACACGAUACAUCUCUCAUCAGCCCAAACAGAUGGAAGUCCAAAGGUGCGAUACACAGCACUAUAUCAUGGUUGUAGUAGGGACUGUUCAGUCUAGAUUGUCAGUGUGCACCAUAAAAAUGGAACAGUGACGGUCUUCUGGGCACUGUACUUGUUCUUCUCUUCUGUGAAGCAGGUACACAGAAAAAUAUGAUAAUCAAUGGAACUGGAGCAUUAAGUCUUUAACCCCCAGUGCACUACAUGAUGUCACGAUGUGAAAUAACGAUAACAGAAAUAAUAAAACCAGAACAUCAUGCCAGCCUGAUGCGAGCUCCAAGACCCUGAUCAUCACUGGGUUGGAGUUAGAAGACAGCACAGUCUGUUCCUGCACCCUGCUGGGACCAUGAUGAGAUACUGGGUCCCAGCUCAUCAGUGGCUGGAGCUGGAAGACUGCACUCAAGUUCUGCACCUUGCUGGGAGCACGGUGGGAGACAGUCCUGGGUGCCCCGACAGUGGCAGCGUCGUCCGCUCCUCCCCUCCGUCUUGUCCUUUUGCAGCCCAGCAUGAGCCGGGUGGUGAUAGUGACAGGUGGAAAGAGCCCAGAGCUGCAGGGAGAAGCGCAGGGAAUGCAGACGAAGCUGAACCGAGAAGAAUGGAAUAAAAGGCUAACAGGCUGAUUUCUA